ensembl:lncRNA
GAACAAAAGCAUGGCGAUAUAUUAACUUUUCAUCUGCAUUUAAUAUAUUUAAAUAUAGUUUAACAUUUAUUAUUAUUUUAAACAGUUAUUUUAAAAUUCCAUGUUUUCAAAUUUUUAAAAUGUAAAGUUUUGAAAUUUAAAACAGUUCUUUUAAAUUUAAAAAUUCCGUGAUUAUAAUACACUUUCUCUCUCUCUCUCUCUCUCUCUCUCUCUCUCUCUCUCUCUCCCUCUCUCUCUCUCUGCUGGUCUUGCUCCAGCACACCUGGCUGUGAUUUUCUUGUGAUUAGCUAAUGCAGGUGUUUUUUAUUAGAGCUGGAAUUACAUUCUGCAGGAAAGUUGCUCUCCUGGACCUGCGUGAGGAAUCUCGGUUUAAUUCAUUAAAAGGCUGGACGGUGUGUCAGGUGGAAUCCAGUACAGUUCCUCUGACCUUUAUGAAGUCUGUGACCUAGAUGUCUGAAGCACCUAUCGUCACUCCACAUCCGUCACAUGUGUCCGUUCCCUGAGCGUGGCUGUAGGUCUGGGAGGCGUUUGUAACACUCUGUGGUCUUGAGGUCAGUGGAGACUCAAACCUGAGCCUGUCUCUCUGAUGGAUGGCUUGUAUUACCUUUCCUGCUCAGAUAAAGUCAAACACGUCUAGUGCUGUGAAAUUUCAAUAACACUGUCUAUUUUGUGCAUCUGCAGAAAUGAGGGUGUGUGAGUUUGUAUCAUCAAUAUAUUAAGUGUGUGUGUGUGUGUGUGUGCGUGCAUUAUUUAUUUAUAUGUAUGGGUUAGGGUUAUGACAUACACACACACACAUAUAUAUUUUUGCGUUCAUUUUGUGUGUGUUUUACCUUUUUUUGGAACUUCAACCUGAGCAUAAUAGGGCUUGGGCGUCGUGACGUCAUUACUUGGCGUGGCCGCCAUGCUGAUGGCCUCCUUUACUGCUACUCGGACUACUGCGCAGUGUUUAGACAUACUCCCUCUCAGCCGUGUGUCUUAAUUUGAUUAAUUAAAAAUCUAUUUCAACCAUGGUAAACCGUUGCUGUAUUGUGGGGUGUAAAAGCGCAACACAUAAUCGCCCUUUGAAAAAAAAAAUGGAUUAACUUUCCACUGCUUUCCUGCUUGGAGGCGCGACCACGGAGACCAAGUGAGGUAUAAUAUCUGAAUAUUAAUUUAUAUAGCUUAAGUAAACACUGAAAAUAAGGGAAAUUUCCUGGGCUACUCAUCCAAAAAAACGGAAAAUUUCUACAUUCAUCUUUCUGUUGCUAUCCCUCUGCUGACAGCAAAAAUUCGUACUACAAAACUGCUGCAUUAACUAAGCGAGAUUGUGAAGCUAUGUCUAACGUGACUUUGCUUACAUUGGUGUGAAAUCGUGCUCUCACAACAACCACGCUGUUAUCUUAAAAAGGCCAAUAUCACGCUAAGGUUGCUUUCAAGUAACGUUAAGCAAAACGAUGGUUUAAAAAUAUC